rnacentral:lncRNA from 1 species
UCGUUGAGACAAAUCCCAAGCUCGAUCGGAAAGUUGACAUCAUUGAUUGAGCUGCAUUUGAAAUCUACGGCCAUUGAAGAGUUGCCUGAAUCCAUUGGUUCUUUGAACAAGCUCAAGACUCUAGAUGUCUCUUAUUGCAAAUCGUUAGCCCACAUACCCAACUCAAUAGGCAAUUCAACAUCUCUGUCUCGCCUAGACCUAACAGAAUGCCAUAAACUUGCUCAACUUCCAGACUCUAUAGGCUCCUUUGUGUCUCUACAGCGGUUGUUAUUGUCGGGAUGCCACUCGUUGAGACAAAUCCCAGACUCAAUCGGAAAGUUGACAUCAUUGAUUGAGAUGCAUUUGAAAUCUACGGCCAUUGAAGAAUUACCUGAAUCCAUUGGUUCUUUGAAGGAGCUCAAGACUUUAGAUGCCUCUUAUUGUGCAUCGUUAGCCCGCAUACCCAACUCAAUAGGCAAUUCAACAUCUCUGUCUUGCCUUGACUUAACAGAAUGCCAUAAACUUGCUCAACUUCCAGACUCUAUAAGCUCCCUCGUGUCUCUACAGCGGUUGUUAUUGUCGGGAUGCCACUCGUUGAGACAAAUCCCAGACUCGAUCAGAAAGUUGACAUCAUUGAUUGAGCUGCAUUUGAAAUUUAAGGACAUUGAAAGAUUACCUAAAUCCAUUAGUUUUUUUAAGGAGCUCAGGAUUCUAGAUGGCUCUAUCAUGCAUCGUUAGCCUAUAGAUCUAUUUCAAUAAGCAAUUCAAGACCUCAUUCCCCAACUCAAUAGGCAAUUUAACAUCUCUGUCUCGGCUUGACCUAUGCUACUGUUAUAAACUUGUUCAACUUCCAGACUCUAUAGGCUCCCUCGUGUCUCUACAACAAUUGUUUUUGUCGAGAUGCUUCUCGUUGAAACAAAUCCCACACUCGAUUGGAAAGUUGACAUCAUUGAUUGAGUUGCAUUUGGAAUUUUCGGCCAUUGAAAAAUUACCUGAAUCCAUUGGUUCUUUGAAUGAGCUCAAGACUCUACAUGUCUUUUACUGCCAAUCGUUAGGUCGCAUACCUAGCUCAAUAGGCAAUUUCACAUCUAUGUCUUCCCUUAACCUAGAUGAAUGCCAUAAACUUGUUCAACUUCCAGACUCUAUAGGCUCAAUUGUGUCUCUACAACAGUUGUUAUUAUCGGGAUGCCACUCGUUGAGACAAAUCCCAGACUCGAUCGGAAAGUUGACGUCAUUGAUUGAGCUGCAUUUGAAAUCUACGGCCAUUGAAGAAUUACCUAAAUCCAUUGGUUCUUUAAAGGAGCUCAAGACUCUAGAUGUCUCUUAUUGCAAAUCGUUAGCCCGCAUACCCAACUCAAUAGGCAAUUCAACAUCUCUGUCUCACUUUGACCUAACAGAAUGCCAUAAACUUGCUCAACUUCCAGACUCUAUAGGCUCCCUGGUGUCUCUACAGCGGUUGUUAUUGUCGGGAUGCCACUCGUUGAGACAAAUC